AGACAACAAAAUGUUAAAUAUUAAUUUUGUCACCUUAGGUCGAUCGGUAUCUCACGUUCUUUACUAUUUUCUAGAUAAAGAAUUUCAAUUUCUAAGUUUUUCUAGGUCACACCCAUACUUUCCCUGGGCCAUUAGCUCAGGUGGUUAGAGCGCACCCCUGAUAAGGGUGAGGUCCCUGGUUCAAGUCCAGGAUGGCCCAUAUCUCUAUGUUGGGGGUAUAGCUCAGUUGGUAGAGCGCCUGCUUUGCAAGCAGGAUGUCAGCGGUUCGAGUCCGCUUACCUCCACUGAUUACCACCUCUUCCAUAUAGCUGAGGGGAAUAGUUUGAAGUGUAAUCUAAUUCUGAACGAAUCUAGCUUCCUAAUUUUUUUUAAGAUGCUGGACUCAUUGAAUUUAUUCAUUGUUUUCAGAGAACCUUGACAACUGCAUAGAUUAUUUUUAAAGACAAUAAGCAUCUAUAUGAUGCAGAUUUAUUAUUUGUGCGAAAGCAUUAAUAACAAUUCUAUUGAGCUGAUGCUUCAAAUUUUGAAGUUAUU
rnacentral:tRNA from 1 species